rnacentral:rRNA from 1 species
CAUAAGUAACCUGCCCUAGACAGGGGGAUAACUAUUGGAAACGAUAGCUAAGACCGCAUAGGUACGGACACUGCAUGGUGACCGUAUUAAGAGUGCCUCAAAGCACUGGUAGAGGAUGGACUUAUGGCGCAUUAGCUGGUUGGCGGGGUAACGGCUCACCUAGGCGACGAUCCCUAGCUGGUCUGAGAGGAUGACCAGCCACACUGGAACUGAGACACGGUCCAAACUCCUACGGGAGGCAGCAUG